UACGUAGGGCGCAAGCGUUGUCCGGAAUUAUUGGGCGUAAAGAGCUCGUAGGCGGUUUGUCGCGUCUGCUGUGAAAACUCGAGGCUCAACCUCGGGCUUGCAGUCGAUACGGGCAAACUAGAGUACUGCAGGGGAGACUGGAAUUCCUGGGUGUAGCAGUGAAAUGCGUAGAGAUGUGGAGGAACGACCGGUGGCGAAGGCGGCAUCCUGGACCGGCAUUGACGCUGAGGCGCGAAAAGCCAGGGGAGCAACGGGAUUAAGAAACCCGUGGUAC
rnacentral:rRNA from 1 species